GCAAAUAGCUUAUUUGGUCUUCCCCCUUAUUUCACAAAAUCAUAUUAUUACAAAGUAAAUAGAUAUGCAAAUACAGCAUACAAUCUUUCAGUCUUACAAUAACUAACAACAAUACAAUACCUUUUAAAUUACAAUUCCGUUCCUGUGUUUUGGUCUAUUUUCUGUACUGGUCAAGUAAUGAUUUCUUUAAUCUAUUUUUGAACUGAAUGACAUUAUGGCUCUGUUUGAUGUCAUUGUUCAGUACAUUCCAUAAGGUCACCCCACAAACUUAAAGAGGCCGGCUAGAUUAUUACAGUUUUUCUCAAUUGCUAAAACACUAAAACCCAUUGGCUGAACAAAGUUCUCAGUUGCCUGAUCUCAUUUAGCUAAUUGUGCAGUCUGUUGUCAAUACCUUAAACCAUUUCACAUGGUCAAACGCAAUUUGCAGAUCUCACUUAGACUUUUCAGCAAAACUCUAAACACAUUCUCAUUCUCAAAACACAUUCUGCACUCUAAUGCACAUGUCAUCCAUACUGGUAAACACAAGUGGCAGCAGUCAAAUACAAAUAGAGAACACAUGUCAUUGAUUGAACACAACCACUCAAAAUUGAUUUCACUUGUUUCAAAUGAUGUGACACAACCAAUAUAAGCCAGUUCAGAGAGCAAACAGGUUGUUGAAUGUUCAUAUCAACAAAGAACAAGCAUUACAGUAUCACAGAGACAAAGGACAAGUUUGUGAGAUGCAGGGUACAGUACUGUAAAAAUAGGGGUACAAGGAGGAGGAAGAA